UGCUGUUAAAAAGCUCGUAGUUGGAUACAGAGCCCAGGUUGUGUUGUGGCCUUUUGAUCGCCGAAUCAGCGUACCGCUGAGGAAGUGUGAAUUAGGAAUUCACCCAACACACCAAGACCUGUGCUCUAGGAACGGUGGUAAUGGUGCCCUGUGAGUAGGCCUCUUCAUUGAGACCGAAAGCGCUUACGUGUUAACCAUACGCAUACGGGUCGACCACCGAAGUUACUGUGAACAAAUCAGUGUGUCCAAAGCAGGCGUUCGCCUUGAAUGAUAAAGCAUGGAAUAACAAGGGAUCGAUUCUCUCGAGUCUUUUUGUUGGUUUUUAACCCGAGAAGGAAUAAUUCAAGUUACGGACUUGGUUCGGUUGCCUCGCGUAGCCGUUCCCGGACCGUGACCCAGCGGGAUCAAUAGGGACUGCCGGGGUCGUAUGUACUCCCACGUCAGAGGUGAAAUUCUUAGAUCGAGGGAAGACAAACUUCUGCGAAAGCAUUCGACAAGAAUGUCUUCAUUAAUCAAGAACGAGAGUGUGGGGAUCGAAGAUGAUCAGAUACCGUCGUAGUCCACUACUGUAAACGAUGCCGUCUCAGGAUCGAGAGGUGUUCAAUU
rnacentral:rRNA from 1 species